rnacentral:rRNA from 1 species
AUACGUAGGGGGCGAGCGUUGUCCGGAAUGAUUGGGCGUAAAGGGCGCGUAGGCGGCCCGGUAAGUCUGGAGUGAAAGUCCUGUUUUUAAGAUGGGAAUUGCUUUGGAUACUGUCGGGCUUGAGUGCAGGAGAGGAAAGUGGAAUUCCCAGUGUAGCGGUGAAAUGCGUAGAGAUUGGGAGGAACACCAGUGGCGAAGGCGACUUACUGGACUGUAACUGACGCUGAGGCGCGAAAGUGUGGGGAGCAAACAGGAUUAGAUACCCUGGUAGUCCACACUGUAAACGAUGAAUGCUAGGUGUAGGGGGUAUCGACCCCUUCUGUGCCGCAGUCAACACAAUAAGCAUUCCGCCUGGGGAGUACGGCCGCAAGGUUGAAACUCAAAGGAAUUGGCGGG